rnacentral:tRNA from 1 species
AGGGAGGUAUCUCAGUGGUAGAGCUUGUGCUUACCAGGUGCGAGGCCCUGGGUUCAAUCUGCAGCAUCCCAA